AGAGUUUGAUCCUGGCUCAGAACGAACGCUGGCGGCAGGCCUAAUACAUGCAAGUCGAGCGCGCCCUUCGGAGUGAGCGGCGGACGGGUUAGUAACGCGUGGGAACGUGCCCUUCUCUAAGGAAUAGCCACUGGAAACGGUGAGUAAUACCUUAUACGCCCCCCAAUCAAAUUCCAUUUGGUUGACGGAAAUUCUGUUGAAUGCCGGAUGGCAUUUGAUGGGGGGGAAAGAUUUAUCGGAGAAGGAUCGGCCCGCGUUAGAUUAGAUAGUUGGUGGGGUAAUGGCCUACCAAGUCUACGAUCUAUAGCUGGUUUUAGAGGAUGAUCAGCAACACUGGGACUGAGACACGGCCCAGACUCCUACGGGAGGCAGCAGUAGGGAAUCUUGGACAAUGGGCGCAAGCCUGAUCCAGCCAUGCCGCGUGAGUGAAGAAGGCCUUAGGGUCGUAAAGCUCUUUCGCCUGUGAUGAUAAUGACAGUAGCAGGUAAAGAAACCCCGGCUAACUCCGUGCCAGCAGCCGCGGUAAUACGGAGGGGGUUAGCGUUGUUCGGAAUUACUGGGCGUAAAGCGCGCGUAGGCGGAUUGGAAAGUUAGAGGUGAAAUCCCGGGGCUCAACCCCCGGAACUGCCUUUAAAACUCCCAGUCUAGAGUUCGAGAGAGGUGAGUGGAAUUCCAAGUGUAGAGGUGAAAUUCGUAGAUAUUUGGAGGAACACCAGUGGCGAACGCGGCUCACUGGCUCGAUACUGACGCUGAGUGCGAAAGUGUGGGGAGCAACAGGAUUAGAUACCCUGGUAGUCCACACCGUAACGAUGAAUGCCAGACGUCGGAUAGUAUACUAUUCGG
rnacentral:rRNA from 1 species